rnacentral:rRNA from 1 species
AAAGUGAUUGAGCCAGGCUGCCAAGAAAAACCUCUAAGUGAUGAUAUUUAGGUGACCGUACCGCAAACCGACACUGGUAGGUGGGUAGAGUAUACCAAGGGGAUCGAGAGAACCUUCGUUAAGGAAUUAGGCAAAAUGCCCCUGUAACUUCGGGAUAAGGGGGGCCUCUGCUGGUGAUACUAUUCGUUGAGCUGGUGGAGGCCGCAGAGAAACGGCUCUUUCAACUGUUUAACAAAAACACAGGUCUCUGCUAAGUCGAAAGACGAUGUAUAGGGGCUGACGCCUGCCCAGUGCUGGAAGGUUAAGGGGAGAGGUUAGCGAAAGCGAAGCUUUGAACCGAAGCCCCAGUGAACGGCGGCCGUAACAAUAACGGUCCUAAGGUAGCGAAAUUCCUUGUCGGGUAAGUUCCGACCCGCACGAAUGGCGUAAUGAGAGGAGCACUGUCUCAACGAGGGACUCGGCGAACAUUGAAGUACGUGUAAAGAUGCGCGUUACCCGCAGCAGGACAAAAAGACCCCGUGAAGCUUUACUACAGCUUGGCAUUGAGUUAGGGCUUAUCUUGUGUAGGAUAGGUGGGAGGCUUUGAAGCUGGGACGCCAGUCUCGGUGGAGCCAUCGUUGAAAUACCACCCUGGCUAAGUCUUGGCUCUAACCCGCGACCGUCAUCCGGCGUAGGGACAGUGCCUGGUGGGUAGUUUGACUGGGGCGGUCGCCUCCGAAAGUGUAACAGAGGCGCCCAAAGGUUCCCUCAGGCUGAAUGGAAACCAGCCGUAGAGUGUAAAGGCACAAGGGAGCUUGACUGCAAGACAUACACGUCGCGCAGGUACGAAAGUAGGGCUUAGUGAUCCCACGGUUCCAUGUGGUAGGGCCGUGGCUUACCGGAUAAAAGCUACUCCGGGGAUAACAGGCUAGUCUUGUCCAAGAGUUCACAUCGACGACAAGGCUCGGCACCUCGAUGUCGGCUCAUCGCAUCCUGGGGCUGGAUAAGGUCCCAAGGGUUGGACUGUUCGUCCAUUAAAGCGGUACGUGAGCUGGGUUCAGACCGUCGUGAGACAGGUCGGUCUCUAUCCGCUGUGGGCGCAAGGGAUUUGAGAGGGGCUGCCCCUAGUACGAGAGGACCGGGGUGGACAGACCUCUAGUGUGCCAGUUGUACCGCCAGGUGCAUCGCUGGGUAGCUACGUCUGGCAGAGAUAACCGCUGAAAGCAUCUAAGCGGGAAACUUGCCUCAAGAUUAGGUCCCUCAUCUGUUAUGGAGUAAGACCGCUAGGAGACCACUAGCUUGAUAGGCGGCAAGUGUAAGUGCAGUAAUGUACUCAGCUAAGCCGUACUAAUGGUCGAGGGCUUACGAU